GCAUCCAUAGUUUAAACGGGAAAAUUACAGUCUUCCAAACUGAGGUUGAGGGUUCGAUUCCAUCUGGAUGCUCCA
rnacentral:tRNA from 1 species